GACAGAGGAGCCAAGCGUUGUCCGGACUGACUGGGCGUAAAGCGCACGCAGGCGGCGCUGCGCGUGGGGUGUGAAAGCUCUUGGCUUAACUGAGAGAGGCCAUCCCAUACGGCAGUGCUCGAGCGGUGCAGAGGUCCGCGGAAUUGCCGGUGUAGUGGUGAAAUGCGUAGAGAUCGGCAGGAACACCCAGGGGGAAACCAGCGGACUGGGCAUCAGCUGACGCUCAGGUGCGACAGCGUGGGGAGCGAACAGG
rnacentral:rRNA from 1 species